AAUCAACGCUGGCGGCGUGCCUCAGACAUGCAAGUCGAACGAUUAAAGCUCUCUUCGGAGAGUGCAUAGAGUGGCGCACGGGUGAGUAACACGUAAGUAAUCUACCUUCGAGUGGGGAAUAACGUCCGGAAACGGACGCUAAUACCGCAUAAUGCAGCGGCAUCGCAAGAUGACAGUUGUUAAAGAUUUAUCGCUUGAAGAGGAGCUUGCGGCAGAUUAGCUAGUUGGUAAGGUAAUGGCUUACCAAGGCUACGAUCUGUAACCGGUCUUAGAGGACGGUCGGUCACACUGACACUGAAUAACGGGUCAGACUCCUACGGGAGGCAGCAGUCGGGAAUUUUGGGCAAUGGGCGAAAGCCUGACCCAGCAACGCCGCGUGAAGGAUGGAGUAUUUCGGUAUGUAAACUUCGAAAGAAUGGGAAGAAUAAAUGACUGUACCAUUUAUAAGGUCCGGCUAACUACGUGCCAGCAGCCGCCGUAAGAC
rnacentral:rRNA from 1 species